GACGAACGCUGGCGGCGUGCUUAACACAUGCAAGUCGAACGGAAAGGCCCUGCUUUUGUGGGGUGCUCGAGUGGCGAACGGGUGAGUAACACGUGAGUAACCUGCCCUUAACUUUGGGAUAACUUCAGGAAACUGGGGCUAAUACCGGAUAGGAGCUCUUGCUGCAUGGUGGGGGUUGGAAAGUUUCGGCGGUUGGGGAUGGACUCGCGGCUUAUCAGCUUGUUGGUGGGGUAGUGGCUUACCAAGGCUUUGACGGGUAGCCGGCCUGAGAGGGUGACCGGCCACAUUGGGACUGAGAUACGGCCCAGACUCCUACGGGAGGCAGCAGUGGGGAAUAUUGCACAAUGGGCGGAAGCCUGAUGCAGCAACGCCGCGUGCGGGAUGACGGCCUUCGGGUUGUAAACCGCUUUCGCCUGUGACGAAGCGUGAGUGACGGUAAUGGGUAAAGAAGCACCGGCUAACUACGUG
rnacentral:rRNA from 1 species